UCAAAAACAUGGCUUCCUGGUUUUAUAGUAAAGGAGGUCUGGCCUGCCCGGUGGAGUUAUUCUAAACGGUCGCAGCUACCACUGUGCGAAGGUAGCACAAUAGGUCGUCCUUUAAUUGGGGGAAAGUAUGAAUGGUCAGAUAUUGGAAAAACUUUAUUAUGUUUACGGUUUGAAUUUUACUUUUUAGUGCAAAGGCUAAAAUAGAUUUAUUAGACGAGAAGACCCUGUUGAGCUUAGUAAGUUAGAUUUUAGUUAAAUCUAAUUAUGUUUUUUCGGGGCUGAAAAUAAGGGAAGCUUAUGCCUUAUAUUUUAGUAUGCAGAUCCGAUAUGAUCGAGAAGUGGAAGAUAGUUACCACAGGGAUAACAGCGCAAUCUUCCUGAUAAGGCCAUAUUUAAGGGUUGGUUUGCGACCUCGAUGUUGAAUCAGAAUUUCUGUCAGGUGUAGCAGUUUGGCAAGUAGGACUGUUCGUCCUUUAAAAUUCUACGUGAUCUGAG
rnacentral:rRNA from 1 species